rnacentral:rRNA from 1 species
GACGAACCGUGCAAACGUUGUUCGGAAUCACUGGGCAUAAAGGGCGCGUAGGCGGCUUGUCAAGUCAGGGGUGAAAUCCGGCAGCUCAACUGUCGAAGUGCCUUUGAUACUGACGAGCUUGAGGGAGGUAGGGGUCUGUGGAACUUCCGGUGGAGCGGUGAAAUGCGUUGAUAUCGGAAGGAACGCCGGUGGCGAAAGCGACGGACUGGACCUCUUCUGACGCUGAGGCGCGAAAGCCAGGGGAGCAAACGGG